rnacentral:rRNA from 1 species
GACGAACGCUGGCGGCGUGCUUACCCAUGCAAGUCGAACGGAAAGGCCCUGCUUUUGUGGGGUGCUCGAGUGGCGAACGGGUGAGUAACACGUGAGUAACCUGCCCUUGACUUUGGGAUAACUUCAGGAAACUGGGGCUAAUACCGGAUAGGAGCUCCUGCUGCAUGGUGGGGGUUGGAAAGUUUCGGCGGUUGGGGAUGGACUCGCGGCUUAUCAGCUUGUUGGUGGGGUAGUGGCUUACCAAGGCUUUGACGGGUAGCCGGCCUGAGAGGGUGACCGGCCACAUUGGGACUGAGAUACGGCCCAGACUCCUACGGGAGGCAGCAGUGGGGAAUAUUGCACAAUGGGCGGAAGCCUGAUGCAGCAACGCCGCGUGCGGGAUGACGGCCUUCGGGUUGUAAACCGCUUUCGCCUGAGACGAAGCGUGAGUGACGGUAAUGGGUAAAGAAGCACCGGCUAACUACGUG